UUCCUUAGUUGGGAAUUUAGGGGCAGAA
rnacentral:piRNA from 1 species